AAAGCUGAACUGUGAACAGAGUGGCCAGCCAGAGCGAAGCCUGCCCACUCUGUUAUCUCUCCUAAGAAGUUGGCUCCAGACACAUACUCAAACAUUCCGCCUGCAGGUGAAGGAGACAGGAAUAAGGACAGUGUAAUUUUGAGUUGGCGCGCUGCUAAAACCUCAAAGGUCAUCUGCAGAACUAGCUCCACGCUGACCACAGACGGCUGAGCACCCACGAUUAGUCUGCAGGACGCGGCGUUGCUACACUCUAUUUGAAAAUGGCAGAUUCUUGGCUGAGGGGAUUCCAGACGUGCCUGGAAGUUCAUUUGGAGGAGCGCGGUGCACAGCUUCCUCCCACCUCGCCUUCUCCACUUUAUUUUCCUUAAGGGUCCAGGUUGGAUUGUUUGAACAGGUUCCUCAGGAUGUGGUCAGAGUGCACAUUCACCAGCCAACCGACCAACCACAGAACAGACCCUGGAGACGGACCAACCAAAAGCUGCUUCAGCACGACAUUUUACUGACCAGAAGCCAGUCAGCCGACUUAUGUUUUCAAAGGGAAUGCUUCAAACAUUUUGGGAAAUACUGUUAUUUGUGUUCUUUCCAAGAGUGAGAUUAACAGAUCAAUAUAACUCAUAUCUGUGUUUCCCCCUGACUCAACUCUUUAUGCUAAUCUCAGAUAAUAGCUUUCAUUUACUUCAUGCACAGAGCUCGCUCGGAGUUAGGUUUUCUCACCUAAUGCUCAGAAAGAGAGCAAAUUAGCAUAAGGUUGAACAUUUCUAUAAAAGUUACAGCAUGUACAUUCCUCAGUGUCAUUGCUGCUGUGACCAACAAUGGGAAAAAAUAAACCUAUUUACAUACAUACUUAUAAGCCAGUGAUAUCAUAUUUUUAUAAGCAUGGUUAUAUUAGGACUUUCUAUAACCUAAGCUCUAAAUCAUGAGAAACGUUCAAACUGAUAAUUAGUAUUUAAAAAAUAAACAUACGUACAUGAUAUUUCUA